rnacentral:rRNA from 1 species
GACGUAGGGGCCUAGCGUUGUCCGGAAUUAUUGGGCGUAAAGAGCUCGUAGGCGGUUCGGCAAGUCGGAUGUGAAAUCUCCACGCUUAACGUGGAGGGGCCAUUCGAAACUGCUGUGACUCGAGUCCGGUAGGGGAGUGUGGAAUUCCCGGUGUAGCGGUGAAAUGCGCAGAUAUCGGGAGGAACACCAGUAGCGAAGGCGGCACUCUGGGCCGGUACUGACGCUGAGGAGCGAAAGCGUGGGGAGCGAACAGG